CUCUAUUUUACUUCUUGCUGUUUGUGUUUAUUUCCCCAGAGACAGAGCACUACGGAAGGGAGCCCCAUUCCCAAGCAUGGUGUCCAAUACACUGAAAGAAUAACUGGGCUCAGUAAUGCACCUAGAGACUCAGAUUCCAGACCUGCCCACUUGCUUUACUAUCCAAAACAACCAUGACACAUGACUUCUCUGGCGGGGUGUUGGCCAAGACAAACUGAACUAUAGAAGAUCCUUGACUUGCCAACGUUCAAAUGAUGAACUUUCAAAAAUAGCGAAACUGGCUGCAGAGCAAAAGCUUUUCAGCUCUGCACAACACCAACAGAUGGCGCUAAGUGUCACCCUUGUGGAGAGCAGAGGGACCUCGGAAGGGCCUUUGGAAAUCUAAUCUGGUUUUGAGUUCUUGGUGGGAAAAUGCACCUUUAAGUUGGGGGAGUUUGAAGACGUUGCCAAGACACGUGCUGCAGCAUUUGAUCUUUUCUGCCGCACUGGCUUCUGCAAUUAACAUGCUUUCACCAGUGAAACUCAGGUUGCGGGGAGAGCAUUCUUCCAGGUUCAUGCCUGUUGUCAUGGAGUAAUUAUAAUUCAUGUCUCCGUUCACAGUGUCCUGGUUUGUAGAAUAAAAU
rnacentral:lncRNA from 1 species